rnacentral:rRNA from 1 species
AUACGGAGGGUGCAAGCGUUACUCGGAAUCACUGGGCGUAAAGCGCGCGCAGGCGGUCUUUUAAGUUGGAUGUGAAAGCCUACGGCUCAACCGUAGAACUGCAUCCAAAACUAUUUAGCUAGAGUGUGGGAGAGGAAGAUGGAAUUAGUUGUGUAAGGGUAAAAUCCGUAGAGAUAACUAGGAAUACCAAAAGCGAAGGCAAUCUUCUGGAACACUACUGACGCUGAGGCGCGAAAGCGUGGGGAGCAAACGGGAUUAGAAACCCCAGUAGUCC